rnacentral:rRNA from 1 species
GACGAACCGUGCAAACGUUGUUCGGAAUCACUGGGCUUAAAGGGCGCGUAGGCGGGCAGGCAAGUCAGGGGUGAAAUCCCACGGCUCAACCGUGGAAGUGCCUUUGAUACUGCCGGUCUUGAGGGAGGUAGGGGCGUGCGGAACUUCCGGUGGAGCGGUGAAAUGCGUAGAUAUCGGAAGGAACACCGGUGGCGAAAGCGGCGCGCUGGACCUCUUCUGACGCUGAGGCGGCGAAAGCUAGGGGAGCGAACGGG